rnacentral:lncRNA from 1 species
CAGCCCGUCACUCAGCAGUCACUCGGUCACUUGGGGAAAAGCGGGCGCCAAGGGCAGAGUGGGCUGGGUUGCCGCCAGUUGCCCUGUCCCAGUGUCCCCCGCCCCCGACUGUCCCAGCCCACGCCCUGAACCCUCCGGAUGACGCUCGCCCAGCUCUUGGCGGCCAUUGGGACCCCUACUCCACUUCUCUGCACAUCUCGCGAGCCUCGGAUGGCGCCCGAGAGCCCAGGACCGGCCACGCGCGGACCUGCGCCGCCACCUGGUGGCCGCCGGCGCAAACGGCACCCAGGAUGCUCAGAAGAACAUUCGCACGACUGGAGCCAGGGAGAUGCAGAUGCAGCACCAAGUCCCAGAGGGAACACUAUGGGCCAAACGGCAGUGUGCAUGGCAGGAUGGUGUACAUGGCUCAACCCAAGGCCUCUCAGGAAUACGUCAAAAAGCCCCAAGAGAAGUUUACAGCAAUCUGAAGUAAAUGAAAAUGAAAACACAACUUACAAAAUUCAUGGAAUGCCAAGGAAACAGUGCCAAGAGGGAAAUCUGUAGCAUUAGAUGCACACGGUGAGAAACAUUUGACAAAAUCCAAUACCCAUUCGUGAUUAAAACUCAAAACCUGGGAAUGAAGGAGAAUUUCCUUAACUUGAUAAAGAUCAUCAAAAAUGCUCAGCUAACAUCAGACAAUGGGGAGAGACUAGAUAUCUUCCUCCGCAAUCAGGAGCAAGACACUCUUCUCUCCCUACUCCUCCUCAGUAUUGUACUAGAAAUCCAGGCUAACAAAAUAAGACAAGAAGAAUAAAAUAUGUGCAAUUGGGAAGAAAAAAAUAGAAUUGUCUUAUUUGUAGAUGGCGUGACUAUGUAGGAAACCCCAAAGAAUUAACAAUAAAAGUCCUGGAACUAAUCGAGAAUUAUGGCAACAGUCCAGGAUACACGGUUAAUUUAUGAUAGUCACUUGCUUCCUAUUUACUAGGAAUAGACAAGGGUAAAUUAACAUUUAAUACACAAUACCACUUACAUUAGCACCACAAGAAAUGAAAUACUUAGGUAUAAAUCUACAAAUAUGUACAGGAUCUACAUGAGAACAACUACAAACCUCUGAUGAAAUAAAUCAAAGAUAUAAAUAAGUGGAGAGAUAGUCCAUUUUUAUCAGUAGGAACACAAUAUUGUCACAAUAUCAGUUCUCCCCAACUUGAUCUGUAGAUUCAAUACAGUCCCAGUCAAAAUCUAGCAAAUUACUUGUGGAUAUUGACAAACUGAUUCCAAAGUACAUGAGAAAAAUCAAACGCCCAGAAUACCCAGUUGCUGCAGCCGUAGCAACUCUGGCGCUGGCAGAGGACAGACCAACAGGCCAAGAGAACAGGACCAAGAACCCAAAACCAACCCAUGCAAGCACCACCAACUGCCUUUGACAAAGGAGCACAGGUAAUGUCACGGAGGAAGACUGUAUUUUUUUUUUAAUUUAAAUUGUGGUGUAACAAUUGGAUGUCCAUAUGUGAAAAUAUUAAUCUACACAUAAACUUUAUGCCUUUCACGAAAAGUAAUUCAAAAAUUGACCACAGACCUAAAUGUAAAAUGAAAAACUAUAAAUUUCUAUAAGAUAACAUUGGAGAGAUCUA